rnacentral:lncRNA from 1 species
CGAGACAGGGUCUUGCUCUGUUGCCCAGACUGGAGUGCAGUGGCGCCAUCUCAGCUGACUGCAGAUUCAACCUUCUGAGCUCACGAAAUCCUCCCAUCUCAACCUCCUGAGUAGCUGGGACCACAGGCUGAGCACAGGGUUGCUCCAGGUGGGCCCAAAUGCUGAAGAGCCUCAUGUUAGAGUUUUUCACCUCUGCGAUGGAACUGUGGUGGACUCCAGUAUCAUCAUUCCAGGGAGGCAUAGCCGCACCAACUGUGUUCCCAGGUUUCACAUGGAGAAGGGUUUUAGAAAGUGCAGAUAGCCUUGAAACCAUUGGUUUCCUACCACUGUUUAUUUCAGCAUAACUUUUUU